rnacentral:rRNA from 1 species
UACGGGGGGGGCAAGCGUUGUUCGGAAUUACUGGGCGUAAAGGGCUCGUAGGCGGCCAACUAAGUCAGACGUGAAAUCCCUCGGCUUAACCGGGGAACUGCGUCUGAUACUGGAUGGCUUGAGUUUGGGAGAGGGAUGCGGAAUUCCAGGUGUAGCAGUGAAAUGCGUAGAUAUCUGGAGGAACACCGGUGGCGAAGGCGGCAUCCUGGACCAACACUGACGCUGAGGAGCGAAAGCCAGGGGAGCAAACGGG